GACGAACGCUGGCGGCGUGCUUAACACAUGCAAGUCGAGCGGUAAGGCCCUUUCGGGGGUACGACGAGCGGCGAACGGGUGAGUAACACGUGGGUGACCUGCCCUCAGCUCUGGGAUAAGCCUGGGAAACCGGGUCUAAUACCGGAUAUGACUCCAUGACGCAUGUUGUGGGGUGGAAAGCCUUGUGCGGCUGAGGAUGGGCCCGCGGCCUAUCAGCUUGUUGGUGGGGUGANGGCCUACCAAGGCGACGACGGGUAGCCGGCCUGAGAGGGCGACCGGCCACACUGGGACUGAGACACGGCCCAGACUCCUACGGGAGGCAGCAGUGGGGAAUCUUGCGCAAUGGGCGAAAGCCUGACGCAGCGACGCCGCGUGAGGGAUGACGGCCU
rnacentral:rRNA from 1 species